AUAGCAUAACAUAACAAAACAACAUUAACAACAAUAAAUCAAGAUCCAGUGGUGGUGAUUUAUCAGCCAACAGUAAGGGAAGUUAUUCUUUACUACUAUGAGUAACAAUUAAACGUGAAAGACUAAGUUGGAGUAAAUUCAUACAAUACGUACAUGAAUGUAAUGGCAAUUGGUGAACAGAGGCCUGAAGCUGAAUGGGAGCUGUGAGGGGCAAAUCAAAGAAUGAACAAAACUGGCUAUAGGAAAAUUUGAAAGUCGUAAGAAUAGACUGAGAGAUGAUGAGCCAGAGCAGAGUCAGAAGGAAAAUCGGACUGGAGCUAUUGGAAUCAGGAUACAAGAGCCAUCAACAAGGUGAAGGCUCAACAAGGACCAAAACAGGAGACAGUGGGUUCAACUACAGGUCUAGAAAGAGUCAGUUUCCAGGCUUUAUAUGUUACUUCGGGCUAUUUGGAUCUCUUUUCUUUGAUGUUCUGUUUUGAUCUACCAGACUUCCACAUGCGAAGGCACAGAACUCUCUUAGAUAAGUGCUUAGCUCUUACUAAGCAGUAAUACUGCCAGCAACUUCCGUGAAUUUUAUUGUUUAGUAUUUUAUUUCAUUAUUUGUGAAAUCCUAUGAUGCAUACCUAAAUAUACAAUACCUUAUUUAACAUGUACGUGAAAGAUGUGAAUGUUUUAAAGAAUUGUUUGUUUGUUUUUCUGUAUUUAUUUGAGGGUUUAGGAGUUAUGCAAACCACAAAUCCUUAGAAGCAAGAUGCUUUUGAAAAGUAUUUGAUUUUGAAAAUUACCUUUGUUUUUAUUAAAUUCUAUGUAAGAGGCAAUCCUGUGUAAAUGGAAAUAAAUGUUAACAUAAAAGUAUGUCAUAAGAAGAGGAUGUCUGAUCUAUAAUGAAUUAUAUGCAAUAAAUAACAAUAAGCUCAAAAGCAUAGAAAUAACAAAUAUAAUACUAAUUGUCAUAUUUGGUUUCAAAGUUUGUGUGAAAAGAUUGAGGAUAAUUGUAAACUAAUAAGGAAUGGGACCUACUUUAUGUUAAAGCAUCUUAUGUAAUUAUUAAAAUUUGAAGUCUA
rnacentral:lncRNA from 1 species